rnacentral:rRNA from 1 species
UACGGAGGGUGCAAGCGUUGUUCGGAAUCAUUGGGCGUAAAGCGCGUGUAGGCGGCUUCGCAAGUCGGGUGUGAAAUCCCGGGGCUCAACCCCGGAACUGCACUCGAUACUGCGUCGCUAGAGUCCCGGAGGGGAAGGCGGAAUUCCCGGUGUAGAGGUGAAAUUCGUAGAUAUCGGGAGGAACACCAGUGGCGAAGGCGGCCUUCUGGACGGUGACUGACGCUGAGACGCGAAAGCGUGGGGAGCAAACAGG